GCUGAGGGAGGGCCAGAAGCCACGCCCACCGCGCCAAAGUCUCUGCUCAUGCUCGGGAGACAGCUGCAGAUGAUUAUUGCCUCACUCAGUUCACGCCUGGACGUCGGAAAUGGUAGUAGGGUACAGCUUUCAAGGCUAAGUGUGAGAAGUUGCUCUUUGUGUUAAGCUUUCGAAAGAAGGCGUUUGUUGGCGCUCUGUAUCCGUCUUCAGUGAGGUGAUGCAAAGGACCUGAUUGACAAACAGCUGGUCUACCAAAAUAAGCCUGUAGAUUAAAAAAUGGAUGGACAUUUUUGGAGAGCUGGAAGUGAAUUCCUACAAGUCUCAAAGCUUGCUCUUGCUAACUACCCUUUGACGAGCCCCAAGGCUGGUGAAUAACCUGGUGCUGCUGCCUGCCAAGCUCAUUGUGCUCACUGCUUUCUCACCAACCACAGAGUUCUAGGGUAAGUCUGUUUUGGAUCUAAGCUCUGCUUUUUGUGUCUUGAGCUCUCUGGCUUUAUUGUGCAUACAUGUGUCUUGUUCAAGCUUCUUGAUCACCUUUCUGUCUGUAAGAGGAGAAAAAGCCCAUGAUUCCCUGGAUUCCUAGACAGCAGUGAAAUUCCCAGGCUCCCUUAUAGAUACAGUCAUUGUAGAGAACCUAAAGACAAAUUUAAACCCUGGUCUUGAGCCAAUCUUUGAACCAUUGUAAAUUAUUUUCCAGACCCUAAAAAGGACUAAGGUAAAUUUAUAGAAGAAUUUAAAAUUCUUUUUGGUGCCUGUGACCCUGAACUACCUGAUUUUUACCAGUUUAUUAACAUGAUACUGAAUCGAAGAAAUGCUGAAAAAUGGCUUCAAGAAAUGUAUUGGAAAGACCCUUCCUAAGAUCUUAAGGGUCCCAACAAAUAUGCCACCAGAGAUAGAAUAAAAAGAGCAAGAAAAUAAGUCAAUGGCUUCUUGAAGCAGUUCCCAAAGGUUUUCCUAUGAGAGUUGAUGGGGCCAUAAUACAGUCCUGUAAACAGAAAGAGGAUGAACCAGUGGCAGAUUUCUGAAUUCGUUUAGAAGUAGUAUUUAGACAAUACUCUGGUCUCAAACAGCUGGUGACUAUUUUUGCCUUGUGUGCCCAUUUGUUAAUGAGCUUCACCCAGAACUCAGUGGUUUGUUACAGAAGCAUAGCUUAGAAUAGGAAGUCACGCCUCUCCCAGAGCUUCAUCUUCCUGAACAUUUUGAAAGAACAAUAGAACAGAAAAAAGACUAUCAAACAAAUAAAUUCAUGGCCCGACAACUGUAACAGUUACGAGGACCUUGAUCCCACUUCAGGAGGUCCAAUCCUACUCCACGUUUUGCCCUUAUUGACAGAGAUGGCUGUGAAUACUAUCAUCAAAAGGAACAUUAGAAGAGGAACAGCCCACUUUUAGAUAGAAGGCCUGUUAAACAAUCCAAUUGCCCUAUAAGAGAGAGCCCCAACUCCCAAAUUCUUGUGAUACUCAGCAAUGACAGGGCUCUGAGAAAUUUCUCAGUAAGCUACUUUCAAUAAUCCUUUAAAUCAAGAAUGAAAGUUAAACUAAACUUACAUGGAGAAAUUUCUACCAUACUGAUAGAUACCAAAGCAAUUCUGUUUACUUUAACCCCCACCAUGAUACAUGAAGAACUUCCUCAGAGUAAUAAAAAUACCUUAGUGCUGGGAGUUUCCAGUCAAGUUCAAAGAGUUCUUUUAUUGGAGCCCAUGACUGUUAUCCUUGGCUAUUUCUCUGAAAGUCAUACUUUUCUAUUAUGUGAUACUACCUCUCUGAAUUUUGUAUGUAAAGAACUGCUGUCUAAAUUAUGAGGCUAGAUAAAAUUUUCCUCAGGAGAAAUAACCUUAGAAUUUCCAGACUCAUCAGACACUUAGGCAUUAUGUGUCCUAAGGAGACUAUUAAAUUCUAUAAAAGUAUAGAUGCUAUAAAUCUCUCUGAAAUCUGAUACUCUAUGGGCCUCUUCUUCCACAGAUGUGGAAAAAAUAAAAAGUACCAAACUCAUUAAGAUUCAGAUUGAUUCAUCUAAACCACUUCCUAACUUGCCUCAGUACCCCUUAAAGUCUGAAGCCAUACAAGGGCUUACUCCUAUAACAGAAGAUUUAAUAAAUCAGAGGCUUUUUACCCCUGUAUCAAUUCUUGCAGUACUCCUGUCUUACCUUUAAGGAAACCCCAUGGAUGGGGAUGGAGAUUUGUACAAGACCUCAGAGCCGUAAGUAAAAUUGUGAUACUGAAGUUUCCAAUGGUACCAAGCCUAAUUACUUUGUUGGCAAAUACACCAACCAAACCAGAUGGUUUACAGUUGUGGAUGUAUGCUCUGCUUUCUUCAGCAUCCCAGUGGACAAAGUAAGUCAAUAUUUAUUUGCUUUUACUUGGAGAAAUCAACAGUCUUGUUGGACAAUAGUGCAUCAGGAAUUUACUGAGGCUCCCUUGUACUUUUCACAAAUUUAACAUUAGAAUUUAAAUUCUGUGCUGCAAUUCCUCAGAAAUUCUGCCUUGAUUCAAUAUGUAGAUGAUUUGCUUCCUUGUUCCUUCUCAAUGGAGAAUUCAGGAAUGGAUUCAACAUAUCUGUUAAAGUGGGGCUUAUAAAGGCUGUAAAGCCUCAAGAUAAGAUUCAGUUCUCACAAGAGAUGGUUCAUUAUCUAGGUCAUGACUUCUCUUCAAAAAGAAUCUCUCUUCAGGAAGAAUAAAUGCCAUUUAAACUAUCCUAGACCUGUAAGGAUUCCUUAGAUUUGUGGGAUAUUGUUAAGUCCUGUGUCUCAUAUGUUUCUUUAUUGGCUUCCCCACUCUGUGACCUCAAAACAGCACUUAGGAAUCUCUCCCUUGGGAAAUAAAACAUGAGGGUACCUUUACUGAACUCAAAUGGGCUUUAUAAAACCCUCCUGCAUUAGAGCUCCCCAGCUAUACUAGACCCUUCAUACUGUUCCUCUGUGAAUGGAACAAUUGGUACAAUUGGACAGGGAAUCCCAAACUUAAUUUCAAGCUACAGAGGGAUUCACUUUACUGAACAACGUAUAAAACAACCAGACAAAGUUAUUCAAACGUAAUGGCACUACCAUGUUCCUACCGUCCUCAAUCUUCAGGAAUGGUUGCAUGCACCAGUGGCAUUCUAAAAUUAAAAUUGACAAAAUUAACUGAAACCACAGAUUACCUUGGCCUUGAGUGCUACCUUUAUAGUUUAUGUGAUAAUAAGAUCAACACCUUUUGGGAAACAUAAGUUGACACCUUAUGAAAUCAUUACUGGUUGACUGAUGCCCUUAAUGAUAGAAACUCAUGCUCUUGUAAACUCUCAUAUGACCCAAUACUGUAAGGACCUAGUGCUGUAUUAGAAGCCUAUUUCCAACAGGCCAAAGAGGCCUUCAGAGACCCUCCACCUGAUGAGGACUUCAGCCCAAUACACUGGAUGGUAUACCAGUGAUGGUAUUCAGGAAAAGACAGCAACAAAAAACUGCACUUGAACCUUGAUGGAAAGAGCCCCAUCAGGUUCCUUUAACCUCUCAGACAGCAGUCAGAUUACAGAGUGUUGAACCUUGAGUCCUUAUCUUUCAACUAAACAGGUCCCUUAGACUCUUGGACCCACAACUGACUUAAAAUUAAGGAUACCGGUAAAAUUUUUUCCCCAGAAGCAAACAAUCAUAGGAUGUAGACAACUUUCCCAGGUCAAUGGAACAAGACCACUGGUGCCAAAAUUAACAUGAUUUUGUUACUAAUAGUUCUAUUAAGACUUUACUAAUGUUUAAUGCAAAUACCUGAAAGUAGACACUGUACCAAAAAAAAAAAUCAGUGACUAAUCAAAUAGGAAGUUGGAUAUGUACCUAGACUGAUGAAGAAGCUGAAGUAUAAACAAAAAUCUAUCUGCAGAUGAAACCACCAGUCUUGUUUCUUUUGUUCAUAAGAUAACAGUUCAUAAGAGAAAUCCAGGAAGCACCAGUCCUCUCAAUACACACAAUACUGGAUUCCUUUGUUUGUCAGGACAUUAAUUCUUCAUACUGGCACCUGUAAAGUAGAAAAUCCUUUUUUAUAUAACUCUAAAAACUUUAGGAAAAAAAAGCUUCAGGUGGGUAGAUGUGGCUCAGUGGUAGAGCACGUGCUUAGCAUGUACAAGGUUCAAUCCCCAGUACCUCCAUUAAAAAAAAAAAUAGGGGAGAGGGUAUAGCUCAGUGGUAGAGCACAUGCUUAACAUGCAUGAGGUCCUGGGUUCAGUCCCCAGUACCUCCAUUAAAAAAAAAAAUAGGGGAGAGGGUAUAGCUCAGUGGUAGAGCACAUGCUUAACAUGCAUGAGGUCCUGGGUUCAGUCCCCAGUACCUCUGUAAAAAAAUAACCAGAGGAAUUUAUCGUAAAAUACAGGUAUAAUCAGAGAAUGAGGGCGACUUAAGCUACUGACAAUGUGGGGUGUGAACCUUCCCUCAUAGUAAACACAGUACAAGAAAUAAUAAAAAAUAAUACUCUUGUCUCCAAUGAACAGAGGAAGCUAUUAAAAGCUUUGGCUUUUGAGCUAGACACACCUGAGUUUAAUGCCUGGCUUGGGUACCAGCUAGGUCUACAAUACUCAACAAGUGAUUUAACAUCUCCAAGCUGCAGUUUUCUAAGGGCUGUAGCAGCACCUCUUACACAGGGCUGUGGUGAGAAUUACACAAGUGUGGAAAAGGUAUUAGCCUAGUUCCUGGUACCUAGAAAAAGCUCGGUAGAUAUUUGUUGACUGAAUGAAUAUAAGCUAGUAAUCUUAAGACCUAAAGCAGGAUAGAGUCACAGGGGAAGAACUCUCUGUAGGAGGUAAGAAUAUAUGUAAAGCACGAGGAGGAGGGACACUAAUGGAGGGAAAAUAAAGCAGGGUGGUUAAGACAUGGGCUUUGGAGGCAGUCAGACCUGGAUUCAAAUAUCAGUCCUACCACUUGAGCAAGUCACCUAAUUCAAAACGUUGUAAACAGGACAAAUUGAAGCAAAAAUGAAAAACUUUUUUUUAUUGAAAUAAAAUAUGCAUGACAUAAAAUUUAUCAUUUUAAUCAUUUUUAAAUGUCUAGGUCUGUGGCAUUAAGUAUGUUCAUAUUGUACCACCAUCACUACUACCAUCUCCUGGAUACGUGUAUGUGAGCUACAUUGUUGGGGUUUUUUUCCUUUUUAAUUUGAAUUUGGAAAAAAUGAACAGAUAGUAUAGAAAGUUUCAUAUUACUCCCCCCCCCACACACACACACAGUUUCACUAUUAACAUUUUACACUAGUGUGGUACAUUUGGUAUAAUUAAUAAACUGAUAUUGAUACAUUAUUAUUACUGAAGCCAUAGUUUAUACAGAUUUUCUUAGUUUUUACCUAAUGUCUUUGUUCCAGAAUCCCAUCCAAAAUACCACAUUGCAUUUAGUCAUCAUGUCUCCUUAGGCUUCUCUUGACUGUGACAGUUUCCUUCUUUCUGAUGCACAGAUUUGAGGCAUACUGGUCCAGGAGUAUUGUGGGGGUUUUUUGAAUGUAACAUUUCAUGAUUAAAAAAUACUAAUCAAUUGUGAUAACAAUACCUGUUGGGCCUACCUUGAAACACACACACACACACACACACGCCUCCAUCCUAUCACUUUCGUGGAAACCAGCAUCAUUUCUGACUCUAGUCACUGUGGGUGUCUCUCUGCCUCAUACUGGGCCUCUGCUCCCCCAUCUUUUCUCCACACUGCAGCCAGAGAGGCUGUAAAAUAUAAAUCAGCUUCUAUUCUGUUCUCUAGCUGCUUCAGUGGCUUCUUACGGUGUUAACUAAAACACUACAAGAUCCUUCAUGCUCUAGCUCCUGGCCACCUCGUCAGUAUCAUGACUUAUUCCUCUCCUCCUGGCUCAGUCUGCUCUGUCACACUGGCUUCCUUACAGACCCUGAAACACACCACGCCCCUGCCCUAGAGCCUUUGCACCUGUCUUCUGCCUGGAAAGUUCAUUCUCCAUGUAGCCAUGUUGGCCCACUCCUUCACUCCUUUCAAGUCUCUGCUCAGCUGUCACUUCCUAAAGAGAGGCACCUGUCUUGCAUAGCAGCCUCCCCCCUAAAGAGAGUUGUCCCCCUAAAGAAAGUUGUCCUCUUUCUCCUUAGCUUUGUUUUAACCCAGAAUAUUUAUCACUACCUGACAUUACAUCCUAUAUCUUAAUAUGUUUAUUGUCUGUUUCUUCCAUUAGAAGACACGUUUCAUGAGGCCAAACACUUUAUUUAAUGUGUUAAUACUCAAUAACAUUGGUUAAAUUAAUUAGUGAAUAAAAGACUUUUAUUUUUAACAAGCAAGUUGGAUGUUAGGUAAGGCGGUUCACAGUCUGUGACUCCUGAACUCCUAGAUGUCUUUGAAGGUAGCAAUUUCCUGAAUUUUUAAAGAUCUGGCCAGGCUACAGGUUCUUAAAAAUGGGUAGUGUGAUUCAUAAAUGGAUAUAUCUCCAGAAUCUGGGAUAAUUCCUUGAAUACAUGGAGCACUCAGUAGAGAUAUCUGCAUUAUAAUUAACUAGAAUGGAAUUGGCAAUGUGGCAAAGUGUAGUGGCAGCUUAUCUGAAAGGCAGAGGAAUACUGAGAAAGUUUAUGUAUAACGAUGAUAAUCACAAAUGAAUAUCAUAUAAUGUCUGUUAAUAACUAGUGUUAGGGACCGAAUUGUGUCUCCACCCUUCCACUUCCUGCCCCCACCCCCCAUGUAGCCCCAAAACCCAUUGUGACUAUAUUUGGAGAUAUGGCCUCUAAGGAAGUCAUUAAGCUUAAAUGAGGUCAUAAUAGUAGGGCUCUAAUCUAAUAGGGUUGGUGUCCUUCCAAGAAGAGAAAGAGACUAUGUGCACAGAGAAAUGCCACGUAAGUACACAGUGAGAAGGCAAGCCAGAAAGAGAGGUCUCUCUGGAAACCAACCCCACCAGCAGGUUGAUCUUGGACUCCCAGCCUCCAGAACUGUGAACAAAUAAAUUUCUGUGGUUUAAGCCACCCAGUCUGAUUUCAGUCACCAUGAGCAGUAUCAUCUUAGAAUGUGAAAGACAAUGAGGAAGAAAAACACACACUCCUGUGUUUUGAACAUGGCUUCAGAUUCAUUGUUUUGUGUAUUAUACGGAAAAAAAUCUAUGAAAUAAAAUUGUAUUUCAGUUUUAAAUAAUA